GUUAGCAUUGUAGCAUCAUAAGUGAGAGGUCUAUCUACACAUCCCUCGGCGACUUUAAGUGAUAAAAAGUCAACACAGUGCCUAAAAACCAUCAACGUCAUUCAACAAUCAUUCAAUUCAAUUAUGAUAUAAAUUGUAGUCCAUAACAUACAGCCAUACUGCACACCUUACCUAUAAAUGUAUUUCAUCCAGCUGAAUAGGGACAAUUUGCUCCUCUCAAACAGUGACCCGCACCUGACUGACUUCCUCGUCGUUUUCCCUCUGUGUUUAUUACGUCGGCACUGCCUACAGAAGACAACACAUUUCUUCAUGAUAAAUAUGUAUCUUAAUUAAUGUUACUGAACUUGAAUUUAUAACAUGACUUAUCAGUUAACAAAGGAAGUCAUCGAUUAAAACCGUACCAAAAGAAGAAUACUUACCACUGCAGUCCGUCAACGUUUGCGUUUUCCUUCAGUUUCAUCCUCUUUUUGCAGAGUUUGCAUUUUCUUUUGGCUUGAAGUAACUUCUUCUUUUGGAGCCAUUUUAUCAAUUUUAAUUUAUUUUUUAAAGUCUGUCUUCCCUCAAUAAGACUGAGUACUUUGGCGUGCAGGGUCAUGAUAACUUUGCAUCAAACCGUCUUGCACAUGCGCAGUUCUUACACGUGUCUCACUAAGAAGAACUUGGCAAUGGAGGCUCAGAGGAAGAGCAAGCGUAAAAGGCAGCCUACAAGAGAUCUUGGACGCGUGGAGAAAGCCAUGGCAGAAUGUAAGUACAUGCUUUAAAGUUAUUUCAUUAUUAAUUGAGAGUUUAAUAAUUCGGUCACAUUGCUUAGCUUCCUAAAAUGAGCUAAUUUGACAUCGUACCACGUCUGUUCUAUCACGUAUUUUUUGGCCUUGCUAGCUAACCUUGUCACUAACCAAUGGAUUGCUAGCUGGCUAGAUAGCCGACGUUGCAAGCAGAUAAAUUAUCUGUCAAACACGAAAAAUUAACUCUUAACUGGUCAAAAGACCGACGGUUCAACCAUUUAUCUAAUGUUAAAUUAGGCGAUAUGCCACGAAAAUGUGGUCCAAGCUUUGAAAUUGGACUUGUAAAGUCAUUCUCUUAGCCACAUUAUUCUGUUAGACAUGUUACCACAUGUCUUUGAAUCGUUUUUGGAGUUGUUUUUAACUACUAGAAAACUCGAAGGCUGCUAAUGGCACUGUUAUAGUGCUAUUACGGUAAUACUUUUCUCCGGGUUUUUUUCUUUUCACUUUAGUCCAUAGUUACUUUCAGUAUGUGUAAUGUUAACAACUGAAUCUCUGAAACAUGUCUUAUACACAAUGGGUUUGUGGAACGAUGACAAAUGAGUUGAUGAAGAUUUUUCUCUAAUCAAAAUGACAUAUGAUCAUACAUAUUAUUAUUACAUAUUAUAACAUUAAAGACAAUGGAUAAUGUCAUUGCCCAAAGUGAAUAAAACUCUUAUUUCUUAACUAUAGUAUUAACUGUAUAUAUUUUAAGGUAUCCAUACAAUUUUCAAAUUAACCAAAACGUCACUCUGUAUGCAUUCAUCAAGAUCUUUCAUACAGUUUUGAGGCCCUUACACCAACCAUGCUUUCUGUACUCCAAAAUGUUACAGUGCCAUCAGAUUCGAGUCAGCGGGAAAGAUCUGAACAGCACAGUAGUCAAACUGCAGCAGAGGAAGCAGGUAAUUAUUUUUAUUUUAUUUUAAAUGUUAAGCAUACUUAAAAUAUAUACUCGGAUUCAAUUGACUGUGAAAUGUAUAAAAGUAUGAAAUAUAAUUGCUUAAUGGACAUGUAGUUGAGAUUAUACUUAUUAUGGGAUUAUGAUGUGUUAAUAAUCAUUAACACAUCAUGCACUUGACAUGGUUCCUCCAACUAUGGACAAAAUAAAUCACACCAUGGUGCCUUGUGAUCUCAUUUUGAUAAGUUAUGUGACAAUACUAACUUUCAUUUAACACUUUGUUGGGACAUUGCCUACGUUUGUGAUGUGUAAACAUAUAGUGGAUUAAAGAGUUCCAGAGCAGAAAGAGAAGCCCCCAGUUAUCUCCUAUGUUGGGGGAUUUUUCCUCUGUGCUUUACCACACCUGCAUUGCUGGUAGAGGUCAGGUUAGCCAAACAGUGGUGUAGCAGACAGGCAGGUUUUUUUUUGGUCUAACAUGCUGCUGCUAAAGUGUGACCACAACUGGAGCUCAAUUUGACAUAUUUGACCUAAAACCAUUACAUAUAUUGAGUAUACUUUUGCCAACACUAUUACUAAUUGCCUUUUCUUUCUCCUCUUGAAGCUGUAGUGUGCUGCAGUGAUGGGUCUGACUUGGAGUCAGACACAGUACACCAGCCUACUAAAAGAGUAGCAGCUCAAGGUUCUUCAGUAGCUCCAACAGCUAUUUCAUCUUUGAAGCGCAGCAAACAAGAAAACGUUGUCUGGAAGCUAAAGCUGGAGAAUGCAAAAGAAAAAAUUAAGUCCUUGGAGAAUGAAAGGGACUUCUUAAGGAACCAACUGUCUGAGGCUUUGGCGCUUGCAAAUAAAGAGGACCAAGUGAUGGCAGCGCCCUCCUUGCACGAAAAGAGUAUUGAAAAAUCCUCUUCCUCCUCCACCUCCUCCUCAUCCUCCUCCGACAGUUCCUCCUCUUCCUCAUCAUCUUCAGAAAGAGGGAAGAAGAAGAAGAACAACAAGAAGAAGAACAAGAGGAACAACAGCAACAACAAAAAAGACAGCAAGAAAAAAAAAGGGAAGAAAGGAAACAAAAAGAACACCAAGAUAGGAAAGAGAGUCCUCACCCCAGAAGAGUCCAUGGAUCGCUACAGGCGCGUCUUUGUAGCAGUGAAAAAGGGCAUGACAAAAACUGAGGCAUACGUCAAAGUCGGGGUUGACCGAAAAACGGUAGCAGCAACGGCCGCCAUUUCGGAGCUACACGCUGUUGACAAGGACCUGUAUGACCAGCUGAGGGCAUCAAUGCCCAAGGGAGAGACGCUUUAUCUUUUUUCGGCAAAAUGUAACCUAGAAAUUCUUGGCAGGAACCUUCAGGAUAAGGUAAAUGAAAAAAAAUGCAACGGGGAACUUUUGCAAAUUGGACACCGGGCAUAGUAAAGAAGAGAGCAGGUUUUUGUUUUGUUUUUAGGGUGCCUUUUUUUUUGUCCAUUUUAAAAUGCCCUUUUUUUUGGUUGAUUUGUUCAGUGACAUCGAGAAAUGCCUUGUUAAAAGUGCAGCCUUUGUUUUUGUUCCAUUUUUAAAUUACUUUUUUUGUUUCUGUUUGUGUUUUAAAUGGUUAAUAUUUUCUGUAUUACCCCGUUAUGAUGUUAUUAUUAUGUUAUAAAUGUUUAACUUAAGUGGCUGUAGAUCCCUCAUUGUCAUCAACAGUGGUUUGGCGUUUUAUAACUAACCCUAAAGUGCUUCACUACUGGUAAACGAAUGAUUCAAAAAGCUUCGCUACUGGUA